rnacentral:rRNA from 1 species
AGUGAACGCUGGCGGUAGGCCUAACACAUGCCAGUCGAACGGCAGCACAGUAAGAGCUUGCUCUUACGGGUGGCGAGUGGCGGACGGGUGAGGAAUACAUCGGAAUCUACUUUUUCGUGGGGGAUAACGUAGGGAAACUUACGCUAAUACCGCAUACGACCUACGGGUGAAAGCAGGGGAUCUUCGGACCUUGCGCGAUUGAAUGAGCCGAUGUCGGAUUAGCUAGUUGGCGGGGUAAAGGCCCACCAAGGCGACGAUCCGUAGCUGGUCUGAGAGGAUGAUCGGCAACACUGGAACUGAGACAAGGUCCAGACUCCUACGGGAGGCAGCAGUGGGGAAUAUUGGACAAUGGGCGAAAGCCUGAUCCAGCCAUGCCGCGUGGGUGAAGAAGGUCUUCGGAUUGUAAAGCCCUUUAAGUUGGGAGGAAGGGCAGUAAGUUAAUACCUUGCUGUUUUGACGGUACCAACAGAAUAAGCACCGGCUAACUUCGUG